GCUGGGCAUGGUGGGGCAUACCUGUAAUCCCGGCUGCUCUGGAGGCUGAGGCAGGAGGAUCAUGAGUUCAAAGCCAGCCUCAGCAAAAGCGAGGCACUAAGCAACUUGGUGAGACCCUGUUUCUA
rnacentral:sRNA from 1 species